CAACCUUCCCCCAGAGAGCCAGACCCGGUGCCGGCUGCAUUUGCGACAGUGCUGGGAAGAAAGCCAGGCGGGAUUCAUCCCCUCAUAGCUGCUUAGGGCGCCUGGCUGGGUCCCCCGUCGUGCUCGGAGCGAUACAGAGACCCCCGGGAGCUCCCUCAGCAGAGCCCACGCCCCGGCACAGUGGCAAAGCGCCUGGCUGGAAAAAAGGGUGAUCUGAGGAACAAUCCUUCACUUGUCUCUGCAUCCCAGAGCACCGUAGCGACACAUGUCCGGCCUCGCCAUUGCUGCGGUGCGGCGAGAGGGGAAACCAAGGCACCAAGAGAUCAGAAUGAAAACCAAAGACUUCCUAACUUCUCCGAUGAUGAGCAUAUAUAAUCUAAGCUGAAAUAAAACAAUUUGACGUGAAAACUCCAAAGGUUGCACUGAAAAGAAAUGUUGCCCAACCAGAUGCCUGCUUGUGGGAAGUUGCCAUUUGCAUCAAACAGCAUUUUUGGAUGGAAAAACCAGCCCCUCGGGCAACCGCUGCGCAGGUCGUCCGGGAAGGGGCGUGGAACCGGGGCUGCAGAUUCUCUCCGAAGCAGAGCCCCAGGGAUAGAUUUUUUUGGUGCCUACCUGCUAUGCUAGGAAACAAGGUGAGUGCUCUGGUGUGUGGAGAGGUGGCUGUUUGUGCAUUUCAUGUGUGGUAGCAGCUCACACUCCAAUCCCAAGGCUCCGCCCCAGGCCCGGCUGCUUGCUAGCACAUGUUCUGUGUUCGGAGCCACCCAUGCGUUCAGAACACCGCCUCCUCGUGAAAACACGGCCAGAGUGUGAAGCGCCUUGCGAGCUGGCAGGAUCAGUGGAGCCAGCCUCCACGUCCUGCUGUCCGCGUGUGUCAAAGCGAAGCCACGUGCGCCUGUCGGAUACUGGGGCUAGCGAAGAGCACUGCCCCGUGUGCCAAACAGGCAGAGAGCGGGACAUCUGGCCAUGCGGGCCUUGCAGCCAGAGCAGCAUGGCUGAGGCCUGUCCAGGGGAAGCGAAGGUAUAGAGCGGUGAAAGUGGCUUGCCUGAGGUCACACACUGCACCAGGGACAAAGCUGGGCAUAGAACACAGGAG